rnacentral:rRNA from 1 species
UACGUAGGGAGCAAGCGUUGUCCGGAAUCAUUGGGCGUAAAGCGCGCGUAGGCGGCCCCGUAAGUCCGCUGUGAAAGUCAAAGGCUCAACCUUUGAAAGCCGGUGGAUACUGUGGGGCUAGAGUCCGGAAGAGGCGAGUGGAAUUCCUGGUGUAGCGGUGGAAUGCGCAGAUAUCAGGAGGAACACCAAUAGCGAAGGCGGCUCGCUGGGACGGUACUGACGCUAAGGCGCGAAAGCGUGGGGAGCGAACAGG